rnacentral:rRNA from 1 species
GGGAGGCAGCAGUGGGGAAUAUUGCACAAUGGGCGAAAGCCUGAUGCAGCCAUGCCGCGUGUGUGAAGAAGGCCUUCGGGUUGUAAAGCACUUUCAGUUGUGAGGAAAGGUGUAAGGUUAAUAACCUUGCGCUGUGACGUUAGCAACAGAAGAAGCACCAGCUAACUCCGUGCCAGCAGCCGCGGUAAUACGGAGGGUGCGAGCGUUAAUCGGAAUUACUGGGCGUAAAGCGUGCGUAGGCGGUUCAUUAAGUCAGAUGUGAAAUCCCGGGGCUCAACCUCGGAACUGCAUUUGAAACUGGUGAACUAGAGUACUGUAGAGGGUGGUGGAAUUUCCAGUGUAGCGGUGAAAUGCGUAGAGAUUGGAAGGAACAUCAGUGGCGAAGGCGGCCACCUGGACAGAUACUGACGCUGAGGCACGAAAGCGUGGGGAGCAAACAGGAUUAGAUACCCUGGUAGUCCACGCCGUAAACGAUGUCAACUAGCUGUCUGUGUUCUUGAAACGUGGGUAGCGUAGCUAACGCGCUAAGUUGACCGCCUGGGGAGUACGGCCGCAAGGUUAAAACUCAAAUGAAUUGACGGGGGCCCGCACAAAAGGG